CACACUGUGGUGCAAUGGAAGCACGCCAGCGCCUAUAUGCGCCGGAGAUGCAGGUUCAAUUCCUGUCGGUGUGA